rnacentral:lncRNA from 10 species
AGCCUCCCAAGUAGCUGGGACCACAGGUGUGUGCCACCACACCCAGCUAAUUGUUUUUUUUUUUUUUUUUUUUUUUUUGAGAGAUGGGGGUCUCCCUAUAUUGCCCAGGCUGGUCUCAAAGUUUCCUCAGUUGUGCAAUGAAGGGGAGGGUUCCAUGACCUCUGAGGCAGCCCGGCUCUCCUGUCCACGGGCUGCUACCACCUUGGAGGGCGCGAGGUUUGCUUCCGGUGUUCGGGGCCUUUCCCAGUCACUGCCUCACCAGGACACCCUCACCCGUGUCAGGCUGGGAAAGGGCUUUCUUAACCUUGUCAUGCCUUGCUGUGGCUUGUCGUUGGUGUAAUCUGUGAGGGCUUUUGUAGCUCUGCGUAAUCAUCAGGGUGAACGGGAGGUACUAGAGGACAGGCCAGACAGCCUGGAAUGACACAACUCAGGGUGACACCAACAGGUCCCACUGGCUACUUUGUCACCUCCUUUUCUUCACUCCCCCCUCUGGAGUUACUAAUUUCCACUUUGUGACCCUCCAAAGAUGCAUUCCACCCAACUUUCCCAUUGAACUAGUGGGGAAAUGGUACUUUCUGUAUCCAAAUCUUAGCUGAAACCAGAAUUGGGGUUAUAUUGACUAAAAGAUCAUUUGGGGCCACUUCUUUUCAUUUGUAUUUAUUAGGCCCCUCCUAGGUGGUAAUGGGCCAGGUAGAGUGAGAGUACAGUAGAAACCCAAGACGAAAUUAUCCAGGAAGGUCAACCUUCAUUUUACAGAUGGAGACACGAUAGUUCAGAGAUGCAGAGGACCUCGCCCAAGGUCACGCAGAUACCGGGCCAGUCUUGGGUUUGGAACAUGAGGUUCCUGCCUUUCAGCCCCGUGAUCUUUCGACAGCAUCUUACACAACUUACAGAAUGGUGGGGGAAGCAGGAAUCGCACCUGCAAAACAAUGACGGAACCCUGAGGGGGCAGGGCUCCCAUUGCCAGUGACUUCCCACCCACAGUGGCUGUCAGUGCCUUUAUGUUGUUUACUUAAAUGUGCUUGUCUGGAGGUUGUCAUUUUCUUUUGAGACACUGGGAAUUCCCAUAAUUUUUUAAAAAAGUUCAGUAAAAUUGAAUUUCUACAUUUUUGCCCAAUUUUUUUCCUUUUUAUUUUUUAUUUUUUUUUACAGAGUCUCACUCUGUAGCCCAGGCUGGAGUGCAGUGGUGCAACCUCCUCCUCCCAUGUUCAAGUGAUUCUCCUGCCUCAGCCUCCCGAGUAGCUGGGACUACAGGUGCGCGCCACCAUGCCUGGCCAAGUUUUGUAUUUUUAGUAGAGACGGGGUUUCACCAUGUUGGCCAGGCUGGUCUCGAACUCCUGACCUCAGGCGAUCCACCUGCCGCGGCUUCCCAAAGUGCUGGAAUUACAGGCAUGAGUCACCUUGCCUGUCCCAUUUUUGCCCAGUUUGUGUCUCCUCGGUGUAUGAGUGUGUGUGUUUUGUCAGGGGCACUCUGUUCCUAUAGGUUGGUCUGAUUUGGGACUCUCUCUGUGUGUGCUUUGAUGGGGGCACAGUGACAGGAGAUGGUGGAAAUAAGGCGUGGAGAGGCUGUAUUGUGCCAUCAUACCUUACCAGGACACUCUGUGCCUGGAGGGGGAAAGGGAGGGGGCCAGCCAUGCCAGGCUGAGAAAGGGCUUUCUUAACCCACAAGUGUACAGGCCUUGAAGGCUCAUGACUUAGGGUCAUUGUCACCCAUUCAUUCAGUCAAAUCUGGAAAGCAUUCAAAAAAUAAUUAAAAAAUCACCUCUGGGGAAAAGUCUGGUGUCAGGUUCAGAAAGGAUUUGUUUCAUAUCCA